rfam:Flavobacterium sp. 316 scaffold_0, whole genome shotgun sequence.
UUAAAAUGGAGAUUAGAAACCAGAAUAAAAACAAGGCGUAACCGAAAAGCCAAACGAGUAGGAAAACU